ACAGAGGGUGCAAACGUUGUUCGGAAUUACUGGGCGUAAAGCGCGUGUAGGCGGUCGGGCAAGUCGGAUGUGAAAGCCCAUGGCUCAACCAUGGAAGUGCACUCGAAACUGCUCGACUAGAGUCUCGGAGAGGAAGGUGGAAUGCUUGGUGUAGAGGUGAAAUUCGUAGAUAUCAAGCGGAACACCGGUGGCGAAGGCGGCCUUCUGGACGAUGACUGACGCUGAGAUGCGAAAGCGUGGGGAGCAAACAGG
rnacentral:rRNA from 1 species